CCUACGGGCGGCAGCAGUGAGGAAUAUUGGUCAAUGGGCGCAAGCCUGAACCAGCCAAGUAGCGUGAAGGAUGACUGCCCUACGGGUUGUAAACUUCUUUUAUAAAGGAAUAAAGUGAGGCACGUGUGCCUUUUUGUAUGUACUUUAUGAAUAAGGAUCGGCUAAUUCCGUGCCAGCAGCCGCGGUAAUACGGAGGAUCCGAGCGUUAUCCGGAUUUACUGGGUGUAAAGGGCGUGUAGGCGGGAAAGUAAGGGUGAUGUGAAAUCCCGGGGCUCAACCUGGGCCCUGCAGUUGGAACUGUUUUGCUUGAGUGCUGGGAAGGCAGGCGGAAUUCGUGGUGUAGCGGUGAAAUGCGUAGAUAUUAGGAAGAACGCCGGUGGCGAAGGCAGUCUGCGGGACAGCAACUGACGCUGAGGCGCGAAGGCGUGGGGAGCGAACAGGAUUAGAUACCCGAGUAGUC
rnacentral:rRNA from 1 species